AUGAAAUGUCAGGUGCUGAUAACAUGUGAAAACAUAUCUAGUAUNNNNNNNNNNGUGCUGGUUGCAGACUUUGGACAGCUACCUCAGCAGUUUGGGGGUGGGUGGCGUGCUCUGAGAGGCAGCUGAAUGACCAGCUGCCGGUCAUGGUGACCUCAACCUUUUCUGGAGUCCAAGGAUCCCAGCCAACUUGGGGGGUGGGUCAAUGCCCCAACUCCCCAUCUAAGCGCCUUCCUGUGGCCCCAGGAAAGAGGAGACGGAGCGUCCCACGUGGGCUUGUUAGGCCGACUUCAAGGGGUGACCAUCGUCUGAGUCCCUCAGAGCACGCCCCCGUCCAAAGCCUGCUCUCCUGGGAAGGGGCACGCCAUGAACCCCGAACUCCGGAGGCUCGUCUUUCUCAGGCAGCCGUCGUCCCUGCGCACCUGCCCGCUCCCAGCCUCGUUCUCCCUCCGACACUCCCCAGUGACAGCCAGAAGAUGUGAGGAGAAUGGAUUGAUGGGGACAGCGAGCCCACAGCGGAAGCAGAAAGACCAAUCAGGAGACUACUGAGCUUACCAGGGCAAGAAAUGCUGGUGGCCAUGGGGACAAGAUAAGUGGAUGGGCCGAUUCAUCCAGGGUUCAUUGGAAAGGGUACUGUGACCCAGAGAAAGUGGACCCAGAGAGCAAGAGCUGUGGCUGACCACAUCCCCACCCCUGGGGGCUAAUUUGACAAUUAACAUUUAAUUUUAUUAGUUGAUAAAAUGGAGAGCAUCAUCUUCCUGCUGGAAAGACAAGCAAGGUCUAGAUGAUACGUAUCAAUGUCUACUACCAGCUGAACACUCUGUACGUUAGAAGUAUGAGCACAGUUUCAGUCCUCAACACCCUCAUGCAGGAGCUGUUGUUACCCUCAUGUCACAAAAGAGCCAGCUGAGAUUCACAGAAGUUGAGGACUUUGCCCAACUGGUGAUGGCAGAGCUGGGAUUGAAACUGCUAAUUACUUGGGACACCUGGGUGGCUCAGCGGUUGAGUGUCUGCCUUCGGCUCAGGGGGUGAUCCCAGAGUCCUGGGAUCGAGUCCCACGUUGGGCUCCCUGCAUGGAGCCUGCUUCUCCCUCUGCCUAUGUCUCUGCCUCUCUCUCUUUCUCUCUCUCUCAUGAAUAAAUAAAAUCUUAAAAAAAAAAAAAAAAGAAAU
rnacentral:lncRNA from 12 species